GAAGAUGGCAAAGCAACAGAAAACUGGGACUUCAAAUGAUUCAGUGAAGUAGAGCUGAACCUCUGAAAUAUAGAUUGAUAGGAUUUGCUGAAGGACUGUAUGUGGAAUAUGAAGGAAAGAAGAGAGUCAAGGGUGAACCCAAGAUUUUAACCGGAACAACUAAAAGUGCUGUGACUGUGGACUUCUUCAAGACAACAACAACAACAACAAUAAUAAUAAAAUGUUGAGACUUCCCUGGUAGUCCAGUGGCUAAACUCAGUGCUUCCAAUGGAGGAGCCUGCGUUCUAUUCCUGUUCAGGGAAUUAGGUUCCACAUGCUGCAACUAAGAGUUCGCACGACAGAACUGAAGAUUCAGAAUUCUGCAACUAAAGAUCCGGCAUGCCAUGAUGAAGAUGGAAGAGCUUGUGUGCUGCAACUAAGACACAAUACAGCCAAAUAAAUAAAUAACAAACUU